UCUCUCUUCUCCCAAUCUCGCUCUCUCUUGCGCCUUACACAAUCUCAAUCGCUCUAGUCUCCCUCACAACCCAUUCUCCCAAAACCUCAGUCAUUCAUCACCUCUCAGGUUCACGAAUUUGGUUUUCAUUCAAAGAGACUCAAGUAAGAGCUCACCUUCGGCGACGACGACGGCUCAGGGUUUGGGAUUUGGUCUAUGGAGUCCAAAAGAGUAUCCUGCAAAAGCCCUUUAGGGAUUCUCAGUUUUGGAUUGCCCUAUUCGAUGCUAAAUCAAAAACGUGAAUUCUGAGUGGGUAUACACUGAUGUAAUGCAAGCAAUAGUUGAUUCCUUAAGCUUGGUGUUCUUGUCAUGAAUCAAAGGGAUUAACUUAGCAAGCCACAAUCUAGUAUGCCAAUAUCAGCAGCAACAACAUAAUGAUAAUCAACAUCACUUUGCUGAUUGACUCUUUGUUCAUUAGAAUUUGGACUCUCUGAUUCAUUUGAAGCUAGGAGAAAAAUCCUCAGUCGUAUCAUCUCAACUACCUGGAACCUUUUUUAGUGAACAAAAUCUUGAGAAGGUGAGAUCAUGCUCGGAUAGCGCCUCAGAAGUUGAAGAUUCAGCCAAUCAGUAAGGUACAACGUUGUGGUUCCUUCUC